rnacentral:lncRNA from 1 species
CAGCUUUACUUUUUGGGUUUUAAAACACCUGAAAAUUUUUUCUGUGUGUGGUGGCUGGUAGGAAUCUAAUUGUUUUUUCUAACACGGUGAAACAGACAAUAUGGUGUCUGUCCUCGACAACUCAACUCUGCAUAGAAAGCCAACUGUCCCAGCAUUGAAUAAUUGAUUUUUGUUUUGUUUUUUGUUUUUUAAAGAGACAGGGUCUCACUCUACUGCCCAGGCUGGAUUGCAGUGGUGUGUUCAUAGCUCACUGCAGCCUCAAACUCCUGGGCUCAAGUGGCCCUUCCACCUCAGGCUCCCGAGUAGCUGGGACUAUAAGUGUGCACCACCACACGUGAAUAAUUAAAACUUUUUUUUUUUUUUUUGUAGAGAAAGUGUCUGUGUUGCCCAGGCUGGUCUCAAACUCCUGGCCCCAAGAGAUCCUCCUGCCCUGGCCUCCCAAAGUGCUGAAAUUAUAGGCAUGAGCCACUAUUCCCAGCCAUCUUUUUCUAACUUUCAUUACUUCUGUCAUAGAUCAACCUGUAAUACAUACCUGGGAGUCUUUUAAAGGCUAAACCUUUACUAUUGUGUUGAACCCAUCAUCAUCUACAAAGGAUUAUCUGCUAAAAAACUGAACUGGUAUGAGGUCAGUUUUCUAGACCAGAGGUCACAUUCAUACAUGUUUUAAGCUUGGCCGGCAAUAUGGUGUCUGUCCUCGACAACUCAACUCUGCAUUGAAGCGCAAUAGCAGCCAUAAACAGUAGGUAAAUGAAUGGCCAAGGUAUGUUCCAACGGAAGUUUACUUACAAACAUGUGGAGACUUACAUUUGGUCCUCAGGCUGCAGAGUGCCAUAUGUCCUCUAGACAUAUUCACGUGUAACAAAAUAACAAAAAUAAAGGAAAGUAGACAAGAUCAAACAAUACUCCAGAGAUGCAAUCAUCAAAAUUUCACCAGGGGAAACUCUGGAAAUACAAGUCCACAUUUUUCAACAAAUAAAUUGAAAAGAAAAAGAGGGCCAGGCAUGGUAGCUCACGGCUGUAAUCCCAGCACUUUGGGAGGCUGAGGCAGGUGGAUCAGUUGAGCUCAGGAGUUUGAGACCAGCCUGGGUAACAUGGCAAAACCCUGUAUCUACUAAAAAUACAAAAAAUUAGCCAGGCGUGGUGGCGCACACCUGUAAUCCCAGCUACUCGAGAGGCUGAGGCAGUCGAGAGGCUGAGGCAGGAGAAUUGCUUGAUCCCGGGAGGCGGAGGGUGCAGUGAGCUGAGAUAGCACCAGUGCACUCCAGCAUGGGUGACAGAACAAGAUGG